rnacentral:rRNA from 1 species
AGGUGCGAUUAUAUCAGUAUUAAUGUACCGGAUUUCAUCAGAAUUCCGCAGUUAAGCGUGUUUGGGCGAGGGUAGUUCUAGUAUGUGUGAUUUUCUGGGU